rnacentral:lncRNA from 13 species
CAACUAUGUUUGGAUGUUGGAUCUACACUUUCUCAAGCACUGUGAUCUUCAAAUAUGGAUUGCCCAGGCUGGAGUGCAAUGUCAUGAUCUCAGCCCACUGCAACCUCUGCCUCUUGGGUUCAAGCAAUUCUCCUACCUCAACCUCCCGAGUAGCUGGGAUUACAGGUAUGUGCCACCAUGUCCGGCUAAUUUUGUAUUUUUAGUAGAGUUGGGGUUUCUCUCUAUGAGGUCAGAUACCUGACCAUGUUGGCCAGGCUGACCUCAGGUGAUCUGCCCACCUUGGCCUUCCGAAGUUCUGGGAUUACAGGCAUGAGCCACCGCACCCAGCCGUGAGUAAGUUCGUUAGUGGAGAUUUGUGAGAACCUGGUGGACCCAUCACACUAGCAGUAUAUACUCCACCAUAUUUGUGGUCUUUUAUCCCUUGCCGCGCUCCCACUCUUCCCCCCCAAGUCCACAAAGUCCACUGUAUCAUUUUUAUGCCUUUGAGUCCUCAUAGCUUAGCUCCCACGUAUCAGUGAGAACAUACGAUGUUUGGUUUUCCAUUCCUGAGUUACAUCAGCUUUUGAUUUGUAUUUUUCUUUUUUUUUUUUUAAUUUUUUAUUGGAUUUUAGGUUUUGGGGUACAUGGGCAGAGCAUGCAAGACAGUUGCGUAGAUACACACAUGGCAGUGUGCUUUGCUUUUCUUCUCCCCUUCACCCACAUUUGGCAUUUCUCCCCAGGCUAUCCCCCCCCCCCCCCCCC